UGAAUCUCUAGAAUCCCCUUCUCUCUCCUCUUUCUUCUUCCGAGCCCGAUACCACUCUUUCUUUUCUUCUCUCACAUUUCAGUCGGCUAGACCAGAUGAGCCAUCUCUGGCCACCACCUAAUGACACGCACCCCACCACAAGCUUCCUUGGCCCUCGAAACCCCCAACACGUGAAGCUCACCUCCCCACUCGCCAGCCUCCGUCGCGACUGGCUCCCCGAAGUUCCGUCGCCACUGUGAGUUUGGAGGAUUUUUCUAGCCUUCAGCGUGGACGAUGAAGGCUCCUGCUGGCGACGACAAUGGCGAAGGCGACGGGGAAGGCUCCUGAGCUGGUGAAGUUCUCAGGCGUGGGUGGUGCUGCCAUUCUCUUCAAGGAAUUGAGUUGGGGCUCAAGUCUGCUGUCACGGCCACAUGCACUUCUCUCCAUGGAUUUUGAGGUGUAAUUUCAACUUGCACAUGUUGGAUGGACUGACUUUCAUGCUUCUAGUUUUAUUCUUUUUCUCACUAUAGCUGAGAAAUUAACUCCAGGUAAUUUUUAUUUUUGAGGAAAAAAAAAAGAACAUAUGCUCUUAUGAGCUUAAUUGAGACAACGCCAUCUAUGUCUUUUGUUCAUAUUGGUGACUGCAAUAUACGUGGGCAGGAAACUCUUGUCUGCAAUAUCAGUGAAAUGCAUCAUAUGACCUUAAUUUUAUUGAUUUGGCUUGUAUAUGACAUGAUAUUAAUAGUAUUGCUUUAGCUUGACUAUGACAUUAAUUUUAUUGGUAUUUACUCAACAAUGCUUUAACAUUUUAAAGUAAUGAUUAUGAACAUAAAGUAAUGAUCAAGCCUUCAUAGAAUCCAUGUGUUGUCCUUCUACCUUAUAGAAUCCAUGUGUUGUCCUUAUUGACAUGUAAUGAAAUUUUUAUGACAAUACUGUUCAAUAUAUAGUAUCAAUUUUAUAAGGUAAUGUUUCUUAAAGAAAUGAUGUUAUUUAGAAUAAAUAUUCUCACAAAAGUAUUAUUAUUGUUUUUAUAAAAGUUUAUAAAAAUUCAAAUUAUUCAACUAAUUUCCAGUUUUGUUUCACUUUGGUUAAAGUAAUAGAAAAUUUUGGCAAAUAGUAUUAUUAGUAAUAUUUCUAUUAUAAAAUCCUGCUUAGGGUCAUGAGAGAAGUGUUCCUAACAUGUAAUUAAAGUCUCUUGAGUAUUAUACUUCAAGAAUCUUCUUUGUAAAUGCAAAUCUUGUAAUUUUUAUGUAGAACAUGUUGCAGGUGCUUUUGGUUGUGAGAUAAUGACUCUUUUGUUUGUUACUGCUACUAUGCAUGUACUCUGUACCUUUUGGAAGUUUGUUCAAAAAUUCAGAUUGUUAUAUUUGAAUCUUAUAUAAUCUAAUGAUGUCCAAGAGUUGGUCUGGCCCUACACAUCACAUAAAAGUAACUUAGAAGUUUUGUUGCUCCAAGAACAACAAAUGAUGCCUAACAUUUUUAGUCUUACAUGGAUUCAGAAACCAGAGGGAUAAUGGCAAUAUAUGCCACUAAACAACUAAUGAGAACUUCCGAGAUUAUAUUUAUUACAGUCUGAUGCUUUUUGUUAAGGGUACAAGCUUCACACACGCUUCUCAUAUAUCAAAUUGUUGCAAAACCGGAAAAAAGAAGCGGUUUUUCGCACAUUUGGUUUGUCCUUUAUGAAUAAUGUAAAAUUAGAACAAUUUUAUUGUAAGAUCCAUCAAUAGAGUAUCAUAUUAUAAUAUUUAGAUUGUAUUAGGACUUAGAGGUGGUUUGAGUAUUUUUAUGUAAUUAUUUUUUUAUUGAUAAUGUUGAAAGAUGUUAUAAGUUAGCUUACAUUAUAUGUUAAUGAGAAAUUUAAAUUUCUUUUGA